UUCCUCAUGUUUAGUUAGAAUCUCCUUUCUUGUAACUUGAAGUCAUUGGUUUGAGUCCUACCCUCCAGAGCAGAAGAAAACAAGCUUGCUCCACCUUGAGAUAUUUGAAGAUGGCUAACAUAUCUGCUCUCAGUCUCAUCUUUUCCAGGCUAAACAUGCCCAACUCCUUCAACC